GACGAACGCUGGCGGCGUGCCUAAUACAUGCAAGUAGAACGCUGAAGAGAGGAGCUUGCUCUUCUUGGAUGGGUUGCGAACGGGUGAGUAACGCGUAGGUAACCUGCCUUGUAGCGGGGGAUAACUAUUGGAAACGAUAGCUAAUACCGCAUAACAAUGGAUGACACAUGUCAUUUAUUUAAAAGGGGCAAUUGCUCCACUACAAGAUGGACCUGCGUUGUAUUAGCUAGUAGGUGAGGUAAUGGCUCACCUAGGCGACGAUACAUAGCCGACCUGAGAGGGUGAUCGGCCACACUGGGACUGAGACACGGCCCAGACUCCUACGGGAGGCAGCAGUAGGGAAUCUUCGGCAAUGGGGGCAACCCUGACCGAGCAACGCCGCGUGAGUGAAGAAGGUUUUCGGAUCGUAAAGCUCUGUUGUAAGUCAAGAACGGGUGUGAGAGUGGAAAGUUCACACUGUGACGGUAGCUUACCAGAAAGGGACGGCUAACUACGUG
rnacentral:rRNA from 1 species